ACACUGUUGGUGAAGUGGUUAUCAUGCUUGCCUUCCAUUUCUGACCAUCUGACUGGUUAGCGGGGCAGCAAGCGGGCGGGGUUCGAUUCCCCGACAGUGUA